GUUAAAGCCAUAUAUCUCUGGAGGGUAUGGAGACACACAGGGCAGUCUGGUCCCAUAUGUUAAAGCCAUAUAUCUCUGGAGGGUAUGGAGACACACAGGACAGUCAGGUCCAUUAUGUUAAAGCCAUAGGUCUCUGGAGGGUACGGAGACACACAGGACAGUCAGUUCCAUUAUGUACAGCCAUUAGACUGAGACCAUCAGAGCCAUCAGAGCAGAAACACCCAACACCCCAUCUGUUAUGUCCCAGGACCACUAAAGGCCAGCUGUUGUUGCCAGGGGAUUUAAGGUGGCUCUGCAGCUCUGUGUCUCUAUCCACUUCAUGUGUUUUGAGUUUGGAAAACUAUCUCACUGGGAGGCACGGGCCAAACGAA